rnacentral:rRNA from 1 species
CGCACAGUAAACGAUGAAUACCAGCUGUUGGCGAUAGACAGUCAGCGGCGUAAGCGAAAGCGUUAAGUAUUCCACCUGGGGAGUACGCCGGCAACGGUGAAACUCAAAGGAAUUGACGGGGGCCCGCACAAGCGGAGGAACAUGUGGUUUAAUUCGAUGAUACGCGAGGAACCUUACCCGGGCUUGAAUUGCAACCGAAUAAGCGAGAGAUCGUUUAGCCGCAAGGCGGGUGUGAAGGUGC